GAAAACCGAAGGCCAUGCUUGCGCCGGAGUUCGCAUCCGCGCGCGUGCGUUGAUGAGGAUUGAGGGCGAUGAAGUUAUCCUCUCAGACCGAGCCUUUUCUUGUUCGAUUCUUUUUCUUUGUAGUUCACGAUUGAUCAAUUCUUCGUGAGAUUCGUGAACAUCUCGUCUUCGCCGUGAAUCGCGUGGUGGCCGAAACUCUAGUAGCCAACUUGUCCAGACUUCUCCAGUCAUCGUCUGCGACAAUUGCAGAUCGCCAGACUGGCUUCCUCUGGCCAUAGAGAGGCCUUGCCGUUUGCCGCCACUGCCGUCGGGAGUCAUGUGGCGAAUUCAAGCGCCAGAGGGCGCCGCUUCGACGCGCCUACAGAGGAGGGCGUCGUCAACCAUGGGGUGCCUCAGCCGCCUGCGUUGCGUGCUGGUGCUGCGCCGCUGGAGCACUGUUGAGGCCGAGGGUCCUUGUGUCCUUGGGGCCGGAGGGAGUCGCCGCCACAACCGUGUAUCAGGCCGAUGGUCAGGGACGGUGGUGUCAUCGAGUUCUUGGCCUAAUUGCUCUCUGGAAGAGGCGUGCGUGAUAACGUGUAAACAGAAAAGGGGAGAGAGAGAGAGAUAGGAAUGGAAUGAACAGUGUUUCUCGUUGAUUGAAGACCGGGUAUUUAUACCCACUUUACAAGGCAGUUAGGAUUACAAUGUCGGUAA